CCUUCUUUAACCCAGUGCUCAUUGGGUGCCUCCUCUGGGCCAGACACAGGGGCCCGCGUCUGUGGUCCUCUCCGGAAGCAGUGUGUCUGUCGGGGAGCCGAGAUGAGAGGAAGCACAUGCCCAGCAUGGCCGGGGGCUCCCGGAGCCGUUACAAGCCCCCCAUCCACCACCCUGCAGACGGGAGGUUGUCCCCGCUGUGCAGAUGAGCAAGUUGAGGGGGAAAAUUGGACCAUGUGAAUCUGAUGCUCAGGGGGGAGAAAUCAACCCACAAAAAUUGUCAAGAUGGCUCUGCAAAGGACGAUCAUGAAGGAAGGUGAUUGACCAGAUAUUAAAGCUGAUUCCAAAGCUACGGCAAAUAAAUGCUAUACUCUUGGCAUGA